AUACGCACCUUUGUAGCCCAAAUCAACCCUGAAUCCUGUCUCCUCCCUCCAACCGCACGCCAAGAAUGGAGAAUUUUGCAAACAUAGCACCGUCUACGGCAGGCUUCAGACUUUUGGCACCGCGGUCGUGGCAAUUAAAAGUGUGGCAUUAAAAUCUCCCUCGUUUUGAAGAUUUAGCAUCGUACGCGCGCAAUGGUCAUUAAGCAUUGUCUAGUUCCCGUCGUACCCUCGCUCCGUUACAUCCUUGCCGCCGUCUUCCUCUUCUACCGUCUCCCGUAUUCCAUUCUCUCCUCCAAGGGCUCUGCAUCUGCUUCCUCCUUUUCGUCAUCGUCAAACGCCAAUGCUGAACUCGACUCUCUCUGAUUCAGCUCUGUUGCUGGCAGCAGCCACUACCGCUACAGGACUGAUGCCUCCGCCCUUCAUCUCGUUCCAGCAUGUCCACCUUCUGCACGUCGGCCUCACAGGAUGUCGUCGUCGCCGAGCAGCUCACAACUUCGACGACCUCGAGGAGGCCAUCCAUGCCGCAUCCAUCGUGACCUAGACGUCGCCGGACCACCUCCCGCGGGACCCGGUGGCGAGUCAGUGUGGGAGCAGGGGAGGAAGGUAGACGCGGUUGGUAGAGGAAGUUCGUUCAUCGCAGCCCGCAGAGGUCCACCACCACCACGACAACGCUAGCAGAUCUUCAUCCUAAUUCAUGUGUUAUUGACCAUGUAAGGAGACAUAUACUUUUCUAGCUUGAUGGAUGAGGCGAACAAUAACUUGUCUUUGGAUGACUUCAGUGUCCUGCCUGAGGUAAAUCCAUCAGGCAAUGAGCAUGAACCACCCAUUGUUCAGAGUACUCCAUUAUCAAGACCCAAUUAGAAAAGGACAAAGAAUUUUAGUGAACAAGAAGAUGAAUUGCUUGUGACAGCUUGGUUAAACAUUAGUAUCAAUCCUGUUCAUGGCACUAAUCAGACUCGUGGCACAUUCUCGAAGAGGGUUUAUGAGUUCUUCCACAACAACAAGACUUUCGAAUCGUCUCGGAUUGAAAAUUCAUUAUUGCAUCGAUGAGGACUCAUUCAAGAGAAUGUGAAUUAGUUUUGUGGAUGUGUAUCAAAUAUUGAGGACAGAACUCAAAGUGGGGUUACUUAUCAAGAUAAGCCAUGGCUUUGUUCAAGAGCAAAGACAAUAAAUCAUUCCAAUUCGUGCAUUGCUGGAAUAUAUUGCGGAAUCAACCCAAAUGGCAUGAGAAGCACAAGCAGAUGGAGGUUAUUAAACAAGUACCCAACAAAAAACUGAAGUCAAGCAUGAACUCUAGUAUGGGAAAUUCAACCACCAUCGUUGCUGAUAGUAGGGAACAAUGAGGUCGAUGCAAAUGCCUCUCCACACGCUGCUGCUCCCAAGAGACCAAUUGGUACAAAGAAGGCCAAAACAGCAUUAUGACGUGGUGACACUUACAUCAAGGCUUCAGAUUAUUUUUAGGCAGAAAAGAAGGAGGCUGAUGCAGAGAAAGAAAGGAAGAAAUAGGAAAGGUUCAAUCAAUCAUAUGAACUAGAGAAAUAGAGGCUUCUUGUAGAACAAGCACGGGCUGCAAAUGAGGCAAAAAGAUUUACAGAUAAAAGAAAAUGAAAUGCAAGUGAAGAGAAUGUUUGAGGAAGAGAGGAUUAUGACAACGGAUAUUACUUCGAUGGCAGACCAUUCGCAGCAGUACUACAAGGGCCUAUAAAUUGAGAUUAUUGCUCGUCGUGCAUCAAAGUAGCUCUCAGUAUUGGUUGCUGUGUUGGAGAUGCCCUAAAUGAAGCCAUCCAUGGUAUCAGUACAGAGUGCAACAUGAUUUCCUUGACAAGCCUUCAAGAAAAAUGUGUCGUCAUUAGCUUGAAAUAAAUGUCAUAGUCAUUAGGGAGAUUUGAACUUUUUAUUUGAGAGCUAUCAUUGUGAGUGGGACAACUGGUAUUGGUGCUCUGUUGCCUUUCUUGUUUAAUAGUUUUGGUCAAAAGUAGUUAGAGAUCAUAUGUCGUUUGAACUGAUCAAAAACUAUUUGGUCGUG